rnacentral:rRNA from 1 species
AUUGAACGCUGGCGGCAUGCUUUACACAUGCAAGUCGAACGGUAACAGGCCUUCGGGUGCUGACGAGUGGCGCACGGGUGAGUAAUGCAUCGGAACGUACCCAGAGGUGGGGGAUAACGCAGCGAAAGCUGUGCUAAUACCGCAUGUGAUCUGAGGAUGAAAGCGGGGGACCGAGCAGCAAUGUUUGGCCUCGCGCCUUUGGAGCGGCCGAUGUCGGAUUAGCUAGUUGGUGGGGUAAAGGCCUACCAAGGCGACGAUCCGUAGCUGGUCUGAGAGGACGACCAGCCACACUGGGACUGAGACACGGCCCAGACUCCUACGGGAGGCAACAGUGGGGAAUUUUGGACAAUGGGCGCAAGCCUGAUCAAGCAAUGCCGCGUGCGGGAAGAAGGCCUUCGGGUUGUAAACCGCUUUUGGCAGGAACGAAACGGUGUCCGCUAAUACCGGGCGCUAAUGACGGUACCUGCAGAAUAAGCACCGGCUAACUACGUG